rnacentral:rRNA from 1 species
AGAGUUUGAUCAUGGCUCAGAUUGAACGCUGGCGGCAGGCCUAACACAUGCAAGUCGAACGGUAACAGGAAGCAGCUUGCUGCUUUGCUGACGAGUGGCGGACGGGUGAGUAAUGUCUGGGAAACUGCCUGAUGGAGGGGGAUAACUACUGGAAACGGUGGCUAAUACCGCAUAACGUCGCAAGACCAAAGAGGGGGACCUUCGGGCCUCUUGCCAUCAGAUGUGCCCAGAUGGGAUUAGCUAGUUGGUGAGGUAACGGCUCACCAAGGCGACGAUCCCUAGCUGGUCUGAGAGGAUGACCAGCCACACUGGAACUGAGACACGGUCCAGACUCCUACGGGAGGCAGCAGUGGGGAAUAUUGCACAAUGGGCGCAAGCCUGAUGCAGCCAUGCCGCGUGUAUGAAGAAGGCCUUCGGGUUGUAAAGUACUUUCAGCGGGGAGGAAGGUGUUGUGGUUAAUAACCACAGCAAUUGACGUUACCCGCAGAAGAAGCACCGGCUAACUCCGUGCCAGCAGCCGCGGUAAUACGGAGGGUGCAAGCGUUAAUCGGAAUUACUGGGCGUAAAGCGCACGCAGGCGGUCUGUCAAGUCGGAUGUGAAAUCCCCGGGCUCAACCUGGGAACUGCAUUCGAAACUGGCAGGCUUGAGUCUUGUAGAGGGGGGUAGAAUUCCAGGUGUAGCGGUGAAAUGCGUAGAGAUCUGGAGGAAUACCGGUGGCGAAGGCGGCCCCCUGGACAAAGACUGACGCUCAGGUGCGAAAGCGUGGGGAGCAAACAGGAUUAGAUACCCUGGUAGUCCACGCCGUAAACGAUGUCUACUUGGAGGUUGUGCCCUUGAGGCGUGGCUUCCGGAGCUAACGCGUUAAGUAGACCGCCUGGGGAGUACGGCCGCAAGGUUAAAACUCAAAUGAAUUGACGGGGGCCCGCACAAGCGGUGGAGCAUGUGGUUUAAUUCGAUGCAACGCGAAGAACCUUACCUGGUCUUGACAUCCACAGAACUUUCCAGAGAUGGAUUGGUGCCUUCGGGAACUGUGAGACAGGUGCUGCAUGGCUGUCGUCAGCUCGUGUUGUGAAAUGUUGGGUUAAGUCCCGCAACGAGCGCAACCCUUAUCCUUUGUUGCCAGCGGUCCGGCCGGGAACUCAAAGGAGACUGCCAGUGAUAAACUGGAGGAAGGUGGGGAUGACGUCAAGUCAUCAUGGCCCUUACGACCAGGGCUACACACGUGCUACAAUGGCGCAUACAAAGAGAAGCGACCUCGCGAGAGCAAGCGGACCUCAUAAAGUGCGUCGUAGUCCGGAUUGGAGUCUGCAACUCGACUCCAUGAAGUCGGAAUCGCUAGUAAUCGUGGAUCAGAAUGCCACGGUGAAUACGUUCCCGGGCCUUGUACACACCGCCCGUCACACCAUGGGAGUGGGUUGCAAAAGAAGUAGGUAGCUUAACCUUCGGGAGGGCGCUUACCACUUUGUGAUUCAUGACUGGGGUGAAGUCGUAACAAGGUAACCGUAGGGGAACCUGCGGUUG